AUUGAACGCUGGCGGCAUGCCUUACACAUGCAAGUCGAACGGCAGCACGGGAGCAAUCCUGGUGGCGAGUGGCGAACGGGUGAGUAAUAUAUCGGAACGUGCCCAGUCGUGGGGGAUAACGCAGCGAAAGCUGUGCUAAUACCGCAUACGAUCUAAGGAUGAAAGCGGGGGAUCGCAAGACCUGGCGCGAUUGGAGCGGCCGAUAUCAGAUUAGAUAGUUGGUGGGGUAAAGGCCCACCAAGGCGACGAUCUGUAGCUGGUCUGAGAGGACGACCAGCCACACUGGAACUGAGACACGGUCCAGACUCCUACGGGAGGCAGCAGUGGGGAAUUUUGGACAAUGGGCGCAAGCCUGAUCCAGCAAUGCCGCGUGCAGGAUGAAGGCCUUCGGGUUGUAAACUGCUUUUGUACGGAACGAAACGGCCCUUUCUAAUACAGGGGGCUAAUGACGGUACCGUAAGAAUAAGCACCGGCUAACUACGUGCCAGCCGCCGCGGUAA
rnacentral:rRNA from 1 species